rnacentral:lncRNA from 1 species
AUGGCUUUGAUUGGAGCUGAAGUGCAAAAAAUCCAAAAUUAUUGGGAGGGGGUUCAAAAAAACCCCAGGACAGAGUUCCUGGAGGAAAAGGUGGGAGAGGGUGAGGGGGAAACCUCGGGGGAGGCCAGGAGGGGCUCAGGUUUUGCCUCUGGAAAAGGAAUUUUGCCUCUAAGGAGGAGAUUUUGCCUCUGGAGAGGAGAUUUUCCCUGUAGGGGGAAGAUUUUUGCCUCUGGGGAGAUUUUGCCUCUGGGAAGGGAAUUUUGCCUCUGGGGUGGAGAUUUUGCUUCUGGGGAGAUUUUUUGCCUCUGGGGAGGAGAUUUUUUUGUUUCCUACCCAAAACCCACCUUUCCCAAAAAGAAGAGAACCCCGGAUGGCUCCAGCAGAGGGAUGUGGGUGGCAGAAGAGGAAACCCUUCCCCAAGGCUUAAUUAGGCCAUUCAUUAAUUAGAGCUGCAUAUAAAUGAGUAAAGGGCGGGGCUGAGCUCACCCCUAUUUGUGAAUGAACCCCCCAAGUGACCAAACCCCUCCCCGCUGUCACCCCCUUGUGUCACCUGGGGGGGGGGGGGGGGGGGGGGGGGGGCGUCCCACCUUUGGGGUCCCCAGGCAGGUACCGGGGGGGAGAGGCUGACGGGAGGGACCCCAAAGGUUCAGGAGGGACCCCAGCCCCGGCCCCCCCUCACCAGAGGCCGAAGGCGCCCCCGUUUCCCCCCGGGACGCGCCCCUUGCGCGGGGGCAGCAGGACGGCGGCUCCGGGCGGCACCGGCACCGGGGCGGCAACCGGGGGGCACCCGGCGGGCGGCGGCUGCAAGGAAACAGCGACGGGUCACUGUCGCGAUAGCGGAUGGGUCACUGUCGUGACAGGGAACGGGGUCAUUGUCGCGAUGGGCGGGGUCACUGUCGCGAUAGGGGAGGGGUCACUGUAGCGAUAGCGGAUGGGUCACUGUCGCAAUAGGGGAGGGGUCAUUGUCAUGAUUAGGGGAUGGGUCACUGUCACCACAGGGGACAGGUCACUGUCGUGACAUGGAGACGGGUCACUGUCAUGACAUGGGAUGGGUCACUGUUGUGAUAGGGGACCGAUCACUGUCAUGAUAGUAGACAGGUCACUGUCACGACAUUGGGACAGGUCACUGUCAUGACAGGGUGACAGCCAAGGUCACUGUCACAACAGGGGACAGGUCACUGUCGUGACAGGGGAUGGGUCACUGUCGCUAUAGGGGAGGGGUCACUGUCAUGACAGGGGGACAGCCAAGGUCAGCAUCGCGACAAGAGCAGGGACAGGGCUGUGUGACAGGAGGGACACGAGGCCACUGUCACUAUAGGGGACAGCCGAGGCCGGUGUCACACCCAGGGCGGGCUCUGGGCACACAGCGAUGUCCCCAACCCCGCUGAGGGGACAGUGACAGGGCUGGGACACAGCCCUGAGCCACCCCUGAGGGCUGUGACACCUG